rnacentral:rRNA from 1 species
UACAUGUGGGGCAAGCGUUGUUCGGAAUUACUGGGCAUAAAGGGUGCGUAGGCGGCUUGUUAAGUCAGGGGUGAAAGUUUUCGGCCCAACCGGAAAAUUGCCUUUGAUACUGGCGAGCUUGAGUGCGUGAGGGGUAACCGGAACGAGUGGUGUAGCGGUGAAAUGCGUAGAUAUCAGGAGGAACACCGGUGGCGAAGGCGGUUCUCUGGGCAUUACCUGACGCUGAGGAGCGAAAGUGUGGGGAGCGAACAGG